AAGACGACGCCUAAAUUGCGAUCUUGUAUUUACACUAAUUCGUUGUAUUCAGAAGGUCCGUUUCUUGUAUUUAUCAGUUUUAAAGACCGCCAAGCCGUAAUUAUGCUAUUGUCAAUAAUAAAUACAGAACAAGAGUCUACUUUGACUGGAUUUGAUUGGAAUAUCAUUUUCAAGGCUGUCUGGUGAACGUUUCGAGAUGUGGGACUAAUUUAUGCAUUUCCCAAACGUGCUGCUUUGGAGCACGGCUAUUUUUUUUUAUCCUCAGAAAACGUACUCUCAGGUAAAAAAAAAUCAAUGGCUGCCCAAUUUCUGGAAGAUCGUAAAUCUACCAUCUCUGAUUUGCACCAGACUGCUGCUCACGGACAGAAGAGAUGGACUUCAACCAUCAAUAGCCCGGUGGAGGAUUGUUAUCCAUGGUGCUGUGGAUGGUUACAGCAGACUUGUUGGGUUUCUGAAGGCCUCUGACAACAACAGGAGUGCCACAGUCAUGGAUGUCAUUCGAAGCAGCCAUCACCAGCUACGGAGUACCAUCCCGGGUGAGAUGUGACCCGGGUGGUGAAAACAACCGUAUCUGUGCCUUCAUGGAGCAAUUCAGGGGUGGUGAGAGGGGAAGUGCCCUCAGAGGAAGGAGCACACAACCAGAGGAUAGAGUGGCUGUAGGGGGACGUCUGGCAUGGAGUCUCCAACGUUUACCAUGACCUGUUCACCUUCUUGGAGACGGAGCAGAUCAUCGACAUCAACAAUGGGGUGGACCUGUGGGCACUGCACUUUGUGUUCCAGCCACGGAUGAACAGAGAUCUUGCUGUGUUUGCCAGUCAGGGGACCCACCAUGGGCUGAGGACUGAACAACGGCAGUCACCUCUGCAGUUGUUCGUCUCGGGCUCCCUGGCAAUGCAGAGGGCCAAUCUGACAGCUGUAAGGGAUUUGUUUGCCCCAAAUUCAACCACCAUCAGCUCUCAAGCCACCACCUCAGCUCCUCCUCCAACAACCAUCACCUCAGCGCCUCCUCCAACCACCACCUCAGCUCCUCCUCCAACAACCAUCACCUCAGCGCCUCCUCCAACCACCACCUCAGCUCCUCCUCCAACAACCACCACCUCAGCUCCUCCUCCAACAACCAUCACCUCAGCGCCUCCUCCAACCACUGGCGCCGCAGCUAUUUAUUGGUCGGAAUGGGUGAUUGUGCCACAAACCCAGUUCACCAUCAGCAACACACAGAUGGAGCUGUUGUGGACAAUAAUUCAAUUGGAAGUCCCCAGAGGCAGCCUGGGAGUUGACAUUCUACAGAGGGUUAUGGCAGUUAUAUCUUCAGCGCCACUCGUUCCUACUUCAACCUGAUUUAUACUCCCCUACUGGGAUGAGGGAUUGGAUGCUAUAUCUUCAGCUCCACUCCUUCCUUUGAAUCAGUUCAUUUUUAUAAUACUAUUAUACAUUUUAUAAUACUAACAUUCCCCCUCUCACACACUGUAUGAUUUGGUCUCUAGAAAGGUGCGACAGACAUUUACAACUCUAAACAGAUGGGGACCAGAGUUUAGACACAGGUGGCCUUAACAAAAGUGACGUACUUCUCCAUUCCGUUAUGAUUUUGUUUGCUCAUAUUUGGAGAGUGUCAGGUACUGUUAAGAUAUAAGGCUGAAGGUUAUUGUAUUUUGCUCUAUGGCGCUUUAGCACAGCAUUCCAUCUGCUGACACAAUGUUUGUCUUCCACUCAGUAUAACACGACCCAGGAGAGGCCUACUGCAAGCACUGGAUUAGAGCCUUCAGAGCGCGCCUGCUGUGGGAGGACAACAGAACAUUCUGAAUGGACAUUAUUAAAACAGAACUUGCAUUUUUGUAAUGCCCAAUCGGGACUUUUAUAAAUUGUUAAAAUAAAUGUGUGGAGAAAGCCCUAUAGUUAAAAAAAAUAAUUUAAAAAAACUAUGAAGAUAGGGAUUCGGCUCCCGUUACAUUUUAUAUCUUUGUGAUUAACAGCAACCGAUUACAGUUACUAACAUAACAUUGUUGACACAUUGUGGCAGCUCAAAUGAUGUGGUUGAAGAUGGACUAGUGCAGGGCUCUCCAACCCUGUACCUGGAGAGCUACUGUCUUGUAAGUUCACUCCAACCCUAAUCUAGUGCACCUGAUUUGAAUAAUUACCUGCUUAAUAAAUUAAUCAGGUUAGUUACAAUUGAGGUUGGAUUGAAAACCUACAGGAGGGCAGCUCUCCAGGAACAAGGUUGGAGAGCUUUGGACUAAUGGAUCUAGUUCUUAGAUCAAUGCAUUUGAAAUUCGAUAAGUUACUACGAAGGUGCAGUUCCCAGAAGUGGAGCUGUCACUUAAUACAGUGGAUGGGAAGUCUUAUUUCAUGUAGUUCUAAUUAAAUGAUUGUUGAAGUUUAUUGUUCUUAAUGUAGGACAUCAAAUUAUCAGAUUUGGAUGAGUUGGCUGCGAUAUGGCAGGAGUACUUCAGUCAAUAUCAGCAAAGGAUAUUGGUUAUUAGUGAAGUGUCAGUAAAGUGUUUCUAAAAAAUAAAAAAAACGCC
ensembl:lncRNA